GUCUCUUCGGGGAUGAUUAAACCGGCGCACGGGUGAGUAACACGUGAGUGACCUGCCUUUUAGACUGGAACAACUUACCGAAAGGUGAGCUAAUGCCGGAUGAGUUAUAUAAGUGCAUGUUUAUAUAGGAAAAGUUGGGGAGACCUGACGCUGAAAGAUGGACUCGCGUCCCAUUAGCUAGUUGGUAGGGUAAUGGCCUACCAAGGCGACGAUGGGUAGCCGGCCUGAGAGGGUGGCCGGCCACACUGGGACUGAGACACGGCCCAGACUCCUACGGGAGGCAGCAGUGGGGAAUUUUGCGCAAUGCUCGUAAGAGUGACGCAGCGACGCCGCGUGAAUGACGAAGGCCUUCGGGUCGUAAAGUUCUUUCGACAGGGAAGAAAAUGCCUAUAAGUAACUGUGUAUGUAUUGACGGUACCUGUAUAAGCAGCCCCGGCUAACUCCGUGCCAGCAGCCGCGGUAAUACGGAGGGGGCGAGCGUUGUUCGGAGUGACUGGGCGUAAAGAGCACGUAGGCGGUGUUGUAAGUCAUUAGUCAAAGACUAGAGCUCAACUUUAGUAAGGCUAGUGAUACUAUAAUACUAGAGUAUCAGAGAGGAUUGCAGAAUUCCUGGUGUAGCGGUGAAAUGCGUAGAUAUCAGGAGGAAUACCGUUAGCGAAGGCGGCAAUCUGGCUGGAAACUGACGCUGAGGUGCGAAAGCGUGGGUAGCAAACAGGAUUAGAUACCCUGGUAGUCCACGCUGUAAACGAUGGAUGCUAGGUGUUGGGCUUUUAAGUUCAGUGCCGCAGCAAACGCGAUAAGCAUCCCGCCUGGG
rnacentral:rRNA from 1 species